rnacentral:rRNA from 1 species
CCCUUAGAUGUUCUGGGCCGCACACGCGCUACACUGAAGGAGGCAGCGUGUACUCCUGGAUCGAAAGAUUUGGGUAACCCGCGAAUCUCCUUCGUGCUAGGGAUUGGGGUUUGCAAUUAUCCUUCAUGAACGAGGAAUUCCCAGUAAGUGCAAGUCAUAAGCUUGCGCUGACUACGUCCCUGCCCUUUGUACACACCGCCCGUCGCUACUACCGAUUGAAUGAUUUAGUGAGGACUUCGGACUGGGACCGAUGCGGCUUUCGGGCUGCGUCGGUAUUCUGGAAAGAUGUCCAAACUGUAUCAUUUAGAGGAAGUAAAAGUCGUAACA